rnacentral:rRNA from 1 species
CCUACGGGCGGCAGCAGUGAGGAAUAUUGGUCAAUGGGCGCGAGCCUGAACCAGCCAAGUAGCGUGAAGGAUGACUGCCCUACGGGUUGUAAACUUCUUUUAUAAAGGAAUAAAGUGAGGCACGUGUGCCUUUUUGUGUGUACUUUAUGAAUAAGGAUCGGCUAACUCCGUGCCAGCAGCCGCGGUAAUACGGAGGAUCCGAGCGUUAUCCGGAUUUAUUGGGUUUAAAGGGAGCGUAGAUGGGUUGUUAAGUCAGUUGUGAAAGUUUGCGGCUCAACCGUAAAAUUGCAGUUGAUACUGGCAGUCUUGAGUACAGGUGAGGUAGGCGGAAUGCGGGGUGUAGCGGUGAAAUGCUUAGAUAUCACGAAGAACUCCGAUUGCGAAGGCAGCAUGC